AUUCUAAUCUCUUGGAGGAGCCAUUUUCAGUUCUUCAGUUUCUUCCCAAAUUAGAACAUCUUACACUUUGGAAAGCCUACGAAGCAAAGCUCAUUGAUAAAGAGUCCUGCGAGGCAGGUGGAUUUCAGAAGUUGAAAACUUUGAUAAUUGCUUCAAGGAAUCUAGUGGAGUGGACUGAAAUUGUAAAUGGGGCUUUUCCAAGU
rnacentral:misc_RNA from 1 species